AGUAUAUAGGUCUCUGGACUAAUGUGACUACAAGUUUCAAGGUCACAGGGUCAAAAGUCAAAGGUCACCUGGAAUGACUGAAAUGGCCAGUUGUUUGCACAAAAAUGUUCUCAUCAGCAUUUUGUAUAGGCAUAUGCAUUUGAAAAUGGUAGGAACUAAUGCCAUGGUUAUUUUCAUGAAGUUUCAAGGUUACGAGGUCAAUAGUCAAAGGGUCAUAGGCACUUGGAAGUAUGAAACAGCCAGCCAAUUUCCUCCAAAACUAUCAACAUUUUGUGUAGGUGUAUGCAUUUGAAAGUGAAGGGACAAAUGUGCAAAUUAUUUUGGCAAAGUUCAAGGUCCAUGGGUCAAAGGUUAAUUGAAACUACGUGAGGUUAAGGCCCAAUGAGCCUCUUGUUAUGAAAGUUAUAAGUGACUUAUUUGAGGAUCAUCCCUUACAGAGUGAUCCUCAAAUAAGUGUACCUAGCUUUGAAUUAAUGUACCCCUCUUCAGAUACGUCAAAUUCUUUUUUUAAUGACCAUGUUUGUUUCCUUACAUUUUGCUGUCAUGUACAAUGUAGUUAAAAUGUGAAGGAAUAUGAACUUUUUUUCAGAGGUGAUACUGUUAUAAUAUUCUGUUGUGUGGCCAGGUAAAAUUAUUUUUUUGUUUCUCAGGCCAUUUAUUUUUUGUUAUUUGUUAUUUCUGCCAAAACCAAUGAGGCAGGUGCUAUAUUAUUCUUUUAAAAACAGGAUAAUCUUUAAUGCUCUUUUAUUCCCCUUGAUAUUCCCAUUGAAUGUUAAGGUUGUUUUAAGGUCACUCAGUAUACUCAGAUAUGAUAAAUGAUUCAUUUUAUUUACUCAAAAACAAUGUUCAAUAAAACUAACUUCGGCCCUUGUGAUGAUUUGGACCAAAAUCAAGACCAUUUUGGACGACACAAAUCUUUUUUUAUUAAAAUAAAGUUUGAGUCUGAUUUGGAAUAAAGCAGGUUAAAAUUUUAUUUUAUUAUUUUUUGUUUAUGAGGUGUAUGCAGGCCUUCAAAUCAGAUGAGGCAUAUUAAAAAAAGUGUACUUAAGCGCAAAUUUAAAAAAUUGUAAAAUACAAUAUUUUAGCAUGGACUUCAAUUUAAGCUAUCCAGGCUCUUAUCCAGAAUCCAGAAAUUGUCUCUUCUAGACUUAAGGGCAACUGAUAUUCUUAUACAUGGACAUUGCGUAUUUAGUACAACAUAUAACUCGCAUGCCUUUUCUACACCUGUUGUUUCAUGGCUCUAUCUAUGAUUGCUCAUGUGAGCUAUUCUGAUCGCUUUUUGUCUGUCAUCGUUUUUAUUUUUAGAAAAAUUUCCAAGUAUCCAAAAGGGAAAAGUUUUUGUAAAUACAUGUCAGGAAAAAUGUUGUAGGUAAUUGAAUAAGAAUUAUUUUGAUGCAUGGUUCAAGGUCAUAAAGUCAAAGGUUGUCAUCACAUGACAUGUUAGUAAUGAAACUGCCCGUUUGCUCCAAAAUGUCAACUUUUUGUAUAGGUGUAUGUAUUUGAAAGUUUAGUGACUAGUGUUAGGGUUAUUUUAGGGAAGUCUUUUUUGCAUGAAAUUUCACAGCCCCUUCUCAUUGGUGUUGCAUGGACAUAAAUGUGCCCUAAGUCAUCUCACCUCAUUUACUUCAACUUUUUAAGAAUGGCUAGUGUAGUUGAUACCUAUCUUGGUGCAAAUGAUCACGAUGGGGUUUUAGCUUUGCAGCUGUGACCUCUAUUUGGCUGAAUAUCAUGUGAGCAUUAAAGUCCAUGUGCUAAGGCUUUUGACUAGGUCUCCUGUAGUGACAUAUUGAACAACCAUUGUCAGAAGUAGUCCUUAGACGAAACUCUAGUUUCUGCAUAGCUGUCUUCUUUAGAUGAACAAAAUUUGGUAAUAUUUAGAAAGAUAUAUAAAUAUUUGUAAUCAGAUUUCAAUUUUUUGUCAUAUGUAUGCCAAAAUAGCGCUAAUGGGAAUUUAUAAGCUAUUGAUUGCAUUUAAUUUCUAGUCUGAUGUGUAAAUAUAUUUUCUGCUCAUGUAUUUAAAAUCAUUUUUGUUAGAUGUGGUAAAUAUAUUUCCUAGUCAAAUAUGUAAAUAUAAUUCUCUACCAUUCAGAUUGAGUAUUAAUGAACUUCUCUGUAGUCAAAUGCAUCAAUAUAGGUGUGGAGAACCCUAUUUUCUAACCAGAUUUACCAUCAAUAUAGGUGUGGAGAACCCUAUUUUCUAACCAGAUUAACCAUCAAUAUAGGUGUGGACAACCCUAUUUUCUAACCAGAUUAACCAUCAAUAUAGGUGUGGAGAACCCUAUUAUCUAACCAGAUUUACCAUCAAUAUAGGUGUGGAGAACCCUAUUUUCUAACCAGAUUUACCAUCAAUAUAGGUGUGGAGAACCCUAUUUUCUAACCAGAUUAACCAUCAAUAUAGGUGUGGAGAACCCUAUUUUCUAACCAGAUUAACCAUCAAUAUAGGUGUGGACAACCCUAUUUUCUAACCAGAUUAACCAUCAAUAUAGGUGUGGACAACCCUAUUAUCUAACCAGAUUUACCAUCAAUAUAGGUGUGGACAACCCUAUUUUCUAACCAGAUUAACCAUCAAUAUAGGUGUGGAGAACCCUAUUUUCUAACCAGAUUAACCAUCAAUAUAGGUGUGGAGAACCCUAUUUUCUAACCAGAUUUACCAUCAAUAUAGGUGUGGACAACCCUAUUUUCUAACCAGAUUUACCAUCAAUAUAGGUGUGGAGAACCCUAUUUUCUAACCAGAUUUACCAUCAAUAUAGGUGUGGACAACCCUAUUUUCUAACCAGAUUUACACUCUAGAAAUAAUGAAAUUUACCUAUACAAAUAUUUCCUUGCCAAAUUACUGAUAUGAAGAACUUGAAGAGGUGUUUCCAUUCGGCUAUGGUAAAAACGUAAGGCACCGAUCAAAUUUGUGUAUUAUGUGUCAGCUGAACUUUAAAAUGUAUUUGCUCCUUUCUGUUAUCAGUUCUUUCCAAGUGAGAUGAAAAUUCUGCUGUUAAAUGUUCACAUUCGAAAUAAAGAUAUAGCUUUUCCAAAAA